GGAUUUUGAAAUUUUUGAGUCUGACUCCCACACCAACAUGUCUUUCUUUUGAUGUGAGCAUGACUGGACCAUACAUGAGUCAUUAUAAAAAUGAUUGGUUUUAUCGACGAGAGGAGGUGGUUGCUUCUCUGAUCGGGAUACAUAGUUAACUCAGUGUUUGUCGAUCAAGUUUUACUUUGUUGAGAUUUCUGUUGGAUUUGAUUGAUAUGGAUCGUUUCUUACUUCGGUUUGAUGAGAUGGAACUUUGCUUUCCUUUUUCUCUCUCCAGUCGAUGCUGGUGUUAUCUCUACUCAUUAGGAGGUCUCUUGCAUGUCGACGAUGUCAGUCUGUGAUCCCAUCACUACGUUAGGCGAUCCUCGCUCCUAUAAGCUCUUCGCUUCCUGUGAAGUAGAAUCUUUUUUGUAUUGGCGAUUCAAAUUUUUUUGGUGGAUUUAUUGGUUUGCUUGCAGAUGUCUCUGAGUUGGAAUUAAUUUUGGCGGAAGUCUUGAGAUUAUAGGAAGAAAACUGUUUUUAUUUUCUUACCUCUUGUGUAGUAAGUUACAGAGUUUAUAUAGUACAUGAUAUGAACAAUUAGACCUUUGAUUGAGCCCUCAAUUAUGUCCUAGAAUCGUGCUAUGCUAAAUAUGGUAAGAUUUGAUCACUGACUGAUUUACAAUCAUGACAGAGGAUUCUUUCCAACAACUGAUUGAUUUACAAUCAUGGCAGAGAAUUCUUUCCAACAGGAAGGCUGUUCUGGUUCUCCUAUUUGCUUUGUGUGUGUUAUUGUUCUUGCUUUUUUGUUGAUCUAUGUCUGUUUACAUAUUGUUGUUCUUGUUUAUUUGUUUUUGCUUCUUUUGUGUCUGGUGUGGGGUGGAAUUUGGCCAUGUUCAUCUUCUUCUUUGGCUGCCUUUCAUCUAUUUUUCUGAUUUCUUAUCGGAGAUAGUGGUAGUGGGGGUGGCGGUGGCGUGGCGAAAGAUGAUAGUUUUGUAUCAUAUUAGAUUUGUGGAUUGGGCUUUUGAGAUUUGGGUUGGACUUCUGCUUUUAGAUGGUGGGCUAGAUAGUUAAUUUAAGACUAGUUUUCCCUUUAGCCCUAUGGGCUUUUAAUGCAAUUUAUGUUGCAUGGUAAAAAAAAUAUAUAAAAUACAUGAUGGAGUCUGUUUUUCUCUAGGUCUAUUGAAUCAAAGUAUCAUAGUUUUUGGAACAUAAUGUACUAAAGCCUUGGCUCCAUCUCCUUAAUCCCAUGCUAAAAUGAAUCACAAUAUAUAUUUAUUAAAUAG
rnacentral:lncRNA from 1 species